UACAGAGGUCUCAAGCGUUGUUCGGAUUCAUUGGGCGUAAAGGGUGCGUAGGCGGCGCGGUAAGUCGGGUGUGAAAUCUCGGGGCUUAACUCCGAAACUGCAUUCGAUACUGCCGUGCUUGAGGACUGGAGAGGAGACUGGAAUUUACGGUGUAGCGGUGAAAUGCGUAGAUAUCGUAAGGAGGACCAGUGGCGAAGGCGGGUCUCUGGACAGUUCCUGACGCUGAAGCACGAAGGCCAGGGGAGCAAACGGG
rnacentral:rRNA from 1 species